GAUAAACGCUGGCGGCGCACAUAAGACAUGCAAGUCGAACGGAAGUCGUUAUAAAAAGGAUUGAAGAUUUAUCUGAUUGAGAUUUUAUAACAAUGGCUUUAGUGGCGGACUGGUGAGUAACGCGUGAGCAACCUGCCUGCUAGAGGGGAAUAACAGUGAGAAAUCAUUGCUAAUACCGCAUAUGCCAUGAACAUCACAUGAUGAAAAUGGGAAAAGAGUAAUCUGCUAGUAGAUGGGCUCGCGUCUGAUUAGCUAGUUGGCGGGGUAACGGCCCACCAAGGCGACGAUCAGUAGCCGGAUUGAGAGGUUGGCCGGCCACAUUGGGACUGAGACACGGCCCAG
rnacentral:rRNA from 1 species